rnacentral:rRNA from 1 species
AUUGAACGCUGGCGGCAUGCUCUACACAUGCAAGUCGAACGGCAGCGCGGGCUUCGGCCUGGCGGCGAGUGGCGAACGGGUGAGUAAUAUAUCGGAACGUACCCAAGAGUGGGGGAUAACGUAGCGAAAGUUACGCUAAUACCGCAUACGAUCUAAGGAUGAAAGCAGGGGAUCGCAAGAACUUGUGCUCCUGGAGCGGCCGAUAUCUGAUUAGCUAGUUGGUGGGGUAAAGGCCCACCAAGGCAACGAUCAGUAGCUGGUCUGAGAGGACGACCAGUCACACUGGAACUGAGACACGGUCCAGCCUCCUACGGGAGGCAGCAGUGGGGAAUUUUGGACAAUGGGGGCAACCCUGAUCCAGCAAUGCAGCGUGAGUGAAGAAGGCCUUCGGGUUGUAAAGCUCUUUUGUCAGGGAAGAAAAGGUCGUGGCUAAUAUCCACGACUGCUGACGGUACCUGAAGAAUAAGCACCGGCUAACUACGUGCCAGCAGCCGCAGUAAUAC